rnacentral:rRNA from 1 species
CUUGCCCUUUAGACUGGGAUAACAGAGGGAAACUUCUGAUAAUACUGGAUAAGUUAGUAUAUCGCAUGAUAUGCAAAUGAAAGCUACGCACUAAAGGAGAGCUUUGCGUCCUAUUAGCUAGUUGGUAAGGUAAGAGCUUACCAAGGCGAUGAUAGGUAGCCGGCCUGAGAGGGUGGACGGCCACAAGGGGACUGAGAUACGGCCCUUACUCCUACGGGAGGCAGCAGGG